rnacentral:tmRNA from 1 species
GGGGAUGAUCGGUUUCGACGGUGGGUAUUUUAUCGUUGAGAAGCGGGUCGAGGAUGCAGAGUCAUCUCGUUAACGAUUCUCUGUAAAACAUAAGUGCAAAAACUAAGAGCACUGACUACGUCCUCGCUGCCUAAUCGCGAGUAGUACGAGUCCGCCACGCUAUAUGUGCUUUCCGUAUAGUGGUGAGCGACGUUUUUGAAAGCCACUGCUUUUCAUGUGGGUUACGCACAUGGAAGGGACUUUUUCGUAACUGAGUUGGUUGGCAACUUGCCUGUGUGAGUGCCACAGCUGAGAAUAACGACUAACAGGCUGCACCCGGAGAAGGCUUCGGUAGUGCUCAUCGGACGGGGGUUCGAUUCCCCCCAUCUCCACUG